ensembl:lncRNA
UUUUCAUUUGUUUGACUAUCUCGUUGUAUUUGUCACUUGUCAAGUACAUAGAAUUAUCUCUCUUUGGAGAAUGGAAUGUGAAAGCCGUGAUAAAAACUUCUGCUUGAUAUCAUAGCCAAGGUCCACCCCGAUGUGGCUGGGAGCUGUGACAAUGACAAUAGGAAGCUGUGCUGACAGGAAACUGUAACGCAUGCCCAGGAAAGACUUCAGGUUACUGAAAACUGCCCAGUCUCCCUGCCUGGCACACACUAACCAGCGGAUGCCAACUGAUGUCAGUGUGACUCCCCCCAUCUGACUAAUACACCCCAAGACGCUAUUUGUUUGCUGUUGUUUGUGACAAGGUCUCACUCUAUCACCCAGGCAUCAGUGCAGUGCCGCAGUCACAGCUCACUGCAGCCUCAACCUCCUGGGCCUAACCUCAACCUUCCUGCCUCAGCCUCCUGAGCAACUGGGUGUAGGGUCCAGCUCUACAGGGCUUAGUGGGUGUUCUUCCCCUGUGUGGAGACAAGAGAUUGUAAUAAAUAAAGACACAAGACAAAGAGAUAAAGAGAAAACAGCGGCCGGGCACAGUGGCUCAAGCCUGUAAUCCCAGCACUUUGGGAGGCUGAGACGGGAGGAUCACCAGGUCAGGAGAUCGAGACCAUCCUGGCUAACACGGUGAAACCCCAUCUCUACUAAAAAAAUACAAAAAAACUAGCCGGGCGAGGUGGUGGGCGCCUGUAGUCCCAGCUACUCGGGAGGCUGAGGCAGGAGAAUGGCCUAAACCCCAGAGGCAGAGCUUGCAGUGAGCUGAGAUCCGGCCACUGCACUCCAGCCUGGGCGACAGAGCCAGACUCUGUCUAAAAAAAAAAAAAAAAGAGAAAACAGCUGGGCCGGGGGAACCACUACCAUCAAGACAUGAAGACCGGUAGUGGCCCUAAACGGCCGGGCGCGCUGAUAUUUACUGCACACAAGACAAGGGGGCAGGGUAAGGAGGGUGAAUCUUCUAAGUGAUUGACAAGGUGAAGCAAGUCAUGUGAUUACCGGAUAGGGGGCCCUUCCCUUUUAGGUAGCCAAAGCAGAGAGAGAAGGCAGCAUACGUCAGCAUUUUCUUCUAUGCACUUUUAAGAAAGAUCAAAGACCUGAAGACUUUCACUAUUUCUUCUACUGCUAUCUACUACAAACUUCAAAGAGGAACCAGGAGUACGGGAGGAACAUGAAAGUGGACGAGGAGUGUGACCACUGAAGCACAGCACCACAGGGAGGGGGUUAGGCCUCUGGAUGACUGCAGGCAGGCCUGGAUAAUAUCCAGCCUUCCACAAGAAGCUGGUGGAGCAGAGCGUUCCCCGACUCCUCCAAGGAAAGGAGACUCCCUUUCGCAGUCUGCUAACUAAUGGGUGCCUUCACAGACACUGGCGUUACCACUUGACCAAGGAGCCCUCAAGUGGCCCUUAUGCGGGCUUGACAGAGGGCUCACCUCUUGCCUUCUAGGUUACUUCUCACAAUGUCCCUUCAGCACCUGACCCUAUACCCGCCCGUUAUUCCUAGGUUAUAUUAGCAAUGCAACAAAGAGCAAUAUUAAAAGCUAAGGAAUAAUAAUGUUUAUAAUAAUGAUUGAUAAUUGUUCACGAUCAUCUCUAUAUCUAAUUUGUAUUACGAUUAUUCUUAUCCUAACUAUUUUAUUCAUUAUACGGAAACAGUUUGUGCCUUCGGUCUCUUGCCUCAGGAACUAGGUAAUCCUCCACCCACAACUGGAACUACAAGUGCAUGCCACCAUACCUGGCUUUUUUUUUUUUUUUUUUUUUUUUUUUUUAGAGACAGGGCCUUACUAUGUUGCUCAGGUUAGUCGCAAACUCCUGGCCUCAAGCUAUCCUCCUGCCUCAGCCUCCU